CGUGUAGGCGGUCCGGUAAGUCCGCUGUGAAAGUCGAGGGCUCAACCCUCGAAUGCCGGUGGAUACUGUCGGGCUAGAGUACGGAAGAGGCGAGUGGAAUUCCUGGUGUAGCGGUGAAAUGCGCAGAUAUCAGGAGGAACACCAAUUGCGAAGGCAGCUCGCUGGGACGUUACUGACGCUGAGACGCGAAAGCGUGGGGAGCAAACA
rnacentral:rRNA from 1 species